GGAAAAGGCCGCAUAAGCGGCCUU
rnacentral:sRNA from 1 species